CGGAGAAGGCACGAAGAGCUCAAAGCUUUUGGUGGUGGGGUGGGGUGGAGGGUGGCUCCGAUCCAUCGUGCGACCUCGUCAUCGCCCUCGCGGGAGCCGCUUUUUCUCACGCCGUGAUCGGAGAAUCCAAAUCGGGUUCUCUCGCUUGGCUCCCAUCUUCCUGGAAGGGCACGGAAUCGCCAAAAUCGUGCAGCAGGGACACAAUGUUGGACACAAAUGCAGGCCACAUGUUCCUGCAAAGUAUCUAGUCAGGCUGAAAUAUCAAAAUGAUGUACGCAACCAGUGGUAGACUAUUCUUCAUUAAUAUGUAAAUUAUGGGCAAUAUGUAAAUUCAUUAAUAUUACUUAUUGUGCACCAUUUUAGUACUCCAGCCUGGUUCUCUAGUAUCUGAAACUUGCCUCGCCAAAUAUGUUACUGAUAUAUCACAAUGGUAGCAUUUUGCACUGAUGGAUUUUUUUUCUCCCCCCCUAAAUUGUUAUGGUUCUUGCAUUGGUAAACUUAAAUUGAUCCAUUGUGAUGGUUUUAAAUAUGACUGACUAAUCGCAAUCAUGGGAGGUGUUGGCUAACUUAGUUAAUAA